UUUUUCCUACGGGAGGCAGCAGUGGGGAAUAUUGCACAAUGGGGGAAACCCUGAUGCAGCGACGCCGCGUGAGUGAAGAAGUAUUUCGGUAUGUAAAGCUCUAUCAGCAGGGAAGAAAAUGACGGUACCUGACUAAGAAGCCCCGGCUAACUACGUGCCAGCAGCCGCGGUAAUACGUAGGGGGCAAGCGUUAUCCGGAUUUACUGGGUGUAAAGGGAGCGUAGACGGCAUUGCAAGUCUGAUGUGAAAGAUUGGGGCUCAACCCCAGGCCUGCAUUGGAAACUGUAAAGC
rnacentral:rRNA from 1 species